GAAAGGAAUCAGGAGGUUGAUGGAUCUGGAUAGCCACCAGGAAAAUUGUAAGAAUCCUCCAGAGAGACCAACAGCAACUGGGUCACUGUGAUUAACAGAACUGAGCAGAAGAGAUGAUCUCUACACUCUGCACCAUCUAGACUCCCUGUAGCAGGUUAUGUGCUUGGAUCAGCUAGUGAUGGGCCUCUGCAGGAGGCUGGUAAGCAGGUCAAGGUACGGCUCCCCAACCGCUCCUGUCUUGGAGCCACCCCUGGGCCAGAAGCUGAAUCUUCCUCAGGCUGUAGCCCUGGCCCCACCUCCUAGAAGUUGCACCACUUCCCAAAGCACCCUCAGCUGGGGACCAAGCCUUCAGCACAUGAGAUUUGGAGGACAUUUAAGAUCCAAACCACAAAGCAGC
ensembl:lncRNA